CCUACGGGGGGCAGCAGUGAGGAAUAUUGGUCAAUGGCCGCAGGGCUGAACCAGCCAAGCCGCGUGAGGGAUGACGGUCCUAUGGAUUGUAAACCUCAUCUGUCAGGGAGCAAAGGGCGCCACGUGUGGCGUUUUGCGCGUACAUGAAGAAGAAGCAACGGCUAACACCGUGCCAGCAGCCGCGGUAAUACGGAGGAGGAGAGCGUUAUCCGGUUUUAUUGGGUGUAAAGGGUGCGCAGUGGGAGUGCAAAGACAGAGGGAAAAUAUCGGGGCUAAACUCCGUCGUGCCUUUGAAACUGGCGUUCUUGAGUGAUGGAGAAGUAUGCGGAAUGCGUAGUGUAGCGGUGAAAUGCAUAGAUAUCAGGCAGAACUCCGAUUGCGAAGGCAGCAUACCGGCGCUCAACUGACGCUCAGGCACGAAAGCGUGGGUAUCGAACAGGAUUAGAUACCCUGGUAGUC
rnacentral:rRNA from 1 species